GGAGGGAGGGAGGGAUGGAGGGAUGGAUGGAUGGAGGGACAUAGGGAUAGAUGGAGGGGAGGAGGGAUGGAUGGAUGGAUGGAGGGAUAGAGGGACAUAGGGAUGGAUGGAGGGAAGGAGCGAGGGAUGGAUGGAUGGAGGAGUGAUGGAUGGAUGGGCGGAUGGAGGGAUGAAUGGACGGAGAGAUGGGUGGAUGAAUGGAUGGAGGGAUGGAAGGAGGGAGGGAUGGGGGGGUGGAUGGAGGGAUGGAUGGAGAGAUGGACAUAGGGAUGGAUGGAGGGAAGGAGGAAUGGAUGGAUGGAGGGAGGGAGGGAUGGAUGGAUGGACAUAGGGAUGGAUGGACAUAGGGAUGGAUGGAGGGAUGGAUGGAGGGAGGGAUGGAAGGGUGGAUGGAGGGAUGGAUGGAGAGAUGGAUGGAUGGGCGGAUGGAGGGAGGGAGGGAUGGAUGGAGGAGUGAUGGAUGGAUGGGCGGAUGGAGGGAUGGAUGGACGGAGAGAUGGGUGGAUGGAUGGGUGUGUGGACAUUGGGAUGGAGGGAGGGAGGGAUGGAUGGAUGGGCGGAUGGAGGGAUGGAAGGAGGGAGGGAGGGAUGGAUGGAUGGGUGGAUGGAGAGAUGGGUGGAUGGAUGGAUAGAUGGACAUAGGGAUAGAUGGAGGGAAGGAGGGAUGGAUGGAUGGAUGGAGGGAUAGAGGGACAUAGGGAUGGAUGGAGGGAAGGAGGGAGGGAUGGACGGAUGGAUGGGCAGAGGGAUGGAUGGAUGGAUGGAUGGAAGGAGGGAUGGAUGGAGGGAUGGAUGGAUGGGUGGACAUAGGGAUGGAUGGAUGGAGGGAGGGAUGGAUGGAGGGAUGGAGGGAGGGAUGGAUGGAUGGGUGGAUGGGUGUGUGGACAUUGGGAUGGAUGGAUGGACAGAUGGAGGGAUGGAGGGAAGGAGGGAGGGAUGGAUGGAGGGAGGGAGGGAUGGAUGGAUGGAGGGAAGGAGCAAGGGAUGGAUGGAUGGAGGGAUGGAUGGAGGGAUGGACAUAGGGAUGGAUGGAGGGAAGGAGGGAUGGAUGGAUGGAGGAGGGAUGAAUGGAUGGGCAG
rnacentral:lncRNA from 1 species